GACGAACGCUGGCGGCGUGCUUAACACAUGCAAGUCGAACGGUGAAGCACCUCCCUUUUGGUGGGUGUGGAUGAGUGGCGAACGGGUGAGUAACACGUGAGUAACCUGCCCCCUUCUUCUGGAUAACCGCAUGAAAGUGUGGCUAAUACGGGAUAUUCUGGGUCUGUCGCAUGGCGGGCCUGGGAAAGAUAUUGUUUCGGUGGGGGAUGGGCUCGCGGUCUAUCAGCUUGUUGGUGGGGUGAUGGCCUACCAAGGCGGUGACGGGUAGCCGGCCUGAGAGGGUGGACGGUCACACUGGGACUGAGACACGGCCCAGACUCCUACGGGAGGCAGCAGUGGGGAAUAUUGCACAAUGGGCGCAAGCCUGAUGCAGCGACGCCGCGUGAGGGAUGGAGGCCUUCGGGUUGUAAACCUCUUUCGCCAGUGAAGCAGGCCUGUCCCUUUUGUGGGUGGGUUGACGGUAGCUGGAUAAGAAGCGCCGGCUAACUACGUG
rnacentral:rRNA from 1 species